CUAGGAAAGUUGUUCUGCAUAAGAGAUAUGAUGGUGGUUUUGAAGCUCCACGAAAUAGUAUGGAACUGCCAGUUGAGUCAUCCUAUGGAUUAUAUGCUGCAAGAGAUAAUAUAUUGUAUGCUCAUCACAUGACAAAGGAAUUAUCUGGUGAGGACUACUACUCCACUGAGGCUCCAAUGAAGAAGUUAAUAUGUGAAGAGAUUUCUAAAAGACCUGAUUUAAGAUCAAAAUCACCAAGCGUAGUGGCUCGCCUAAUGGGAGUUGAUGUGUU